CCUACGGGUGGCAGCAGUCGAGAAUCAUUCACAAUGGGGGAAACCCUGAUGGGGCGACGCCGCGUGGGGGAAUGAAGGUCUUCGGAUUGUAAACCCCUGUCAUGUGGGAGCAAAUUAAAAAGAUAGUACCACAAGAGGAAGAGACGGCUAACUCUGUGCCAGCAGCCGCGGUAAUACAGAGGUCUCAAGCGUUGUUCGGAAUCACUGGGCGUAAAGCGUGCGUAGGCUGUUUCGUAAGUCGUGUGUGAAAGGUGCGGGCUCAACCCGCGGACGGCACAUGAUACUGCGAGACUAGAGUAAUGGAGGGGGAACCGGAAUUCUCGGUGUAGCAGUGAAAUGCGUAGAUAUCGAGAGGAACACUCGUGGCGAAGGCGGGUUCCUGGACAUUGACUGACGCUGAGGCACGAAGGCCAGGGGAGCGAAAGGGAUUAGAUACCCCGGUAGUC
rnacentral:rRNA from 1 species